rnacentral:tRNA from 1 species
AAUGAAGUGCCUGAAAAAAAGGAUUAUUUUGAUAGAAUAAAAAAUGUAAAUUAUCUUACCUUCAUUA